ACGCAUUUGUCUUCUUGUAUGUUGCAGGUACGAUCUCCGACAUCGGGAAAAAGAAAGAAUAUGAAAAACGAUGUCAAGAGCUGCAGAGCAGGUGCGAUGAACUGCGGAAAGACCUGACCGGAGCUUACGCUAUCAUCGAUGAUCUGGAAUUCGAGCUGGAAAGCAUUGACUACUUAGAAGACGAAAACGACCGGCUACAACAGGAAGUCAAAAGUUUAAGGUCCAAACUGCAAGAUCAAUCUCCGCUGGCGCUUGCGGGUGCAGCAUCCACCGAAUCGAAAAGCACGCCGUCCGAGAUAGAGCAAUCUGAUGCCGAUUCUUCGGUUACAAUUAAGUUCAACUCUGAAGUGGAUAGCACCGACAAUGGCGAAAACAGCAGAAAAUCCCGACGAGACGGACUAAACAGGAAACUGUAUACCUUGCACGAAAAACAGUUUGGUCACUCCUCAAGGACAUAGGUUACGGUCUCAGAAGCAUAAUAACUGCGCCACACAACUUUUUACCCAUAUUUGCACUCUGAGGGUCAAACAACUGCCGGCGAUGCAUUUUCUCUCCGAUCAAUCAUAGUGUUUAUCCCCGGACUAAAUAAAUGCACCGUCUCAUUAUGGAUUUUACCCCCUU